CAGAAUAAACGAUCUCUGGCCUGGACAACAGAUAAUCGCUGUCUCCUCUCUGAUUCACAGCCUAAGAGCAGCCACAUCGAUCCACCACCAUCCCUGGGAUCUUGCCAUGGAUAAUCUGCUGCUUGUCGUUGAAGUAAAGCAUGUUAAUCGGGGACAUCUUGGUCGGGGUGCAGCAGGGCCCUGCGGAGCCGCGCGGGUUGGCAUGCUGAACCAGGUUGUAUCUCUUCUGGUGUUUUUCACACCACUUCAAGCCACGUCUACAAGCUAUUGCUCGACAGGUCUCUCCAGAGACUUCUCCACAGUCUUCCACUAAAGCUUCAGCAUCCUCAGCCAUCAUUUGCCUGCUUGCUCUCCAACCCACCUCGUUCAGAUCACAAGCCUUCAUCAACUUCCCUCUCAGCGAAACUCAUCUUAAAAUGAAACCUCACAAAAAGACGCCUGCACUAUUGGAUUAAUACCAGGACCUUGACAAUCUCCACUAAUCAUCCAACGUUGACAAACUCAGUAAGCCACUCUCUGUGUAAUAACCUGCAUUUCAUGCCGUAGCUCCGGCUUUAUCUAUCGUUCCUCUUUUUCCCCAGACACUGUCGAAGCACGUUGUAGAAGUCACCCUGUUGCAUUUGCACCCGGGUUAAAAAUAAAUGUUUUAAGAUUGA